rnacentral:rRNA from 1 species
GUGAACGCUGGCGGUAGGCCUAACACAUGCAAGUCGAACGGCAGCACAGUAAGAGCUUGCUCUUACGGGUGGCGAGUGGCGGACGGGUGAGGAAUACAUCGGAAUCUACUUUUUCGUGGGGGAUAACGUAGGGAAACUUACGCUAAUACCGCAUACGACCUACGGGUGAAAGCAGGGGAUCUUCGGACCUUGCGCGAUUGAAUGAGCCGAUGUCGGAUUAGCUAGUUGGCGGGGUAAAGGCCCACCAAGGCGACGAUCCGUAGCUGGUCUGAGAGGAUGAUCAGCCACACUGGAACUGAGACACGGUCCAGACUCCUACGGGAGGCAGCAGUGGGGAAUAUUGGACAAAGGGCGCAAGCCUGAUCCAGCCAUACCGCGUGGGUGAAGAAGGCCUUCGGGUUGUAAAGCCCUUUUGUUAGGAAAGAAAAGCAGCAGGUUAAUACCCCGCUGUUCUGACGGUACCCAAAGAAUAAGCACCGGCUAACUUCGUG